AACACAUGGCAAGUCGAGCGGUAGCACAGAGAGCUUGCUCUCGGGUGACGAGCGGCGGACGGGUGAGUAAUGUCUGGGAAACUGCCUGAUGGAGGGGGAUAACUACUGGAAACGGUAGCUAAUACCGCAUAACGUCGCAAGACCAAAGUGGGGGACCUUCGGGCCUCAUGCCAUCAGAUGUGCCCAGAUGGGAUUAGCUAGUAGGUGGGGUAACGGCUCACCUAGGCGACGAUCCCUAGCUGGUCUGAGAGGAUGACCAGCCACACUGGAACUGAGACACGGUCCAGACUCCUACGGGAGGCAGCAGUGGGGAAUAUUGCACAAUGGGCGCAAGCCUGAUGCAGCCAUGCCGCGUGUGUGAAGAAGGCCUUCGGGUUGUAAAGCACUUUCAGCGGGGAGGAAGGCGAUAAGGUUAAUAACCUUGUCGAUUGACGUUACCCGCAGAAGAAGCACCGGCUAACUCCGUGCCAGCAGCCGCGGUAAUACGGAGGGUGCAAGCGUUAAUCGGAAUUACUGGGCGUAAAGCGCACGCAGGCGGUCUGUCAAGUCGGAUGUGAAAUCCCCGGGCUCAACCUGGGAACUGCAUUCGAAACUGGCAGGCUAGAGUCUUGUAGAGGGGGGUAGAAUUCCAGGUGUAGCGGUGAAAUGCGUAGAGAUCUGGAGGAAUACCGGUGGCGAAGGCGGCCCCCUGGACAAAGACUGACGCUCAGGUGCGAAAGCGUGGGGAGCAAACAGGAUUAGAUACCCUGGUAGUCCACGCCGUAAACGAUGUCGAUUUGGAGGUUGUGCCCUUGAGGCGUGGCUUCCGGAGCUAACGCGUUAAAUCGACCGCCUGGGGAGUACGGCCGCAAGGUUAAAACUCAAAUGAAUUGACGGGGGCCCGCACAAGCGGUGGAGCAUGUGGUUUAAUUCGAUGCAACGCGAAGAACCUUACCUGGUCUUGACAUCCACAGAACUUAGCAGAGAUGCUUUGGUGCCUUCGGGAACUGUGAGACAGGUGCUGCAUGGCUGUCGUCAGCUCGUGUUGUGAAAUGUUGGGUUAAGUCCCGCAACGAGCGCAACCCUUAUCCUUUGUUGCCAGCGGUUCGGCCGGGAACUCAAAGGAGACUGCCAGUGAUAAACUGGAGGAAGGUGGGGAUGACGUCAAGUCAUCAUGGCCCUUACGACCAGGGCUACACACGUGCUACAAUGGCAUAUACAAAGAGAAGCGACCUCGCGAGAGCAAGCGGACCUCAUAAAGUAUGUCGUAGUCCGGAUUGGAGUCUGCAACUCGACUCCAUGAAGUCGGAAUCGCUAGUAAUCGUAGAUCAGAAUGCUACGGUGAAUACGUUCCCGGGCCUUGUACACACCGCCCGUCACACCAUGGGAGUGGGUUGCAAAAGAAGUAGGUAGCUUAACCUUCGGGAGGGCGCUACC
rnacentral:rRNA from 1 species